UACAGAGGUGGCAAGCGUUGUUCGGAAUUACUGGGCGUAAAGGGCGCGUAGGCGGCCAUCUAAGUCAGACGUGAAAUCCCCCGGCUUAACCUGGGAACUGCGUCUGAUACUGGACGGCUGGAGUUUGGGAGAGGGAUGUAGAAUUCCAGGUGUAGCGGUGAAAUGCGUAGAUAUCUGGAGGAAUACCGGUGGCGAAGGCGGCAUCCUGGACCAAUACUGACGCUGAGGAGCGAAAGCGUGGGGAGCGAACAGG
rnacentral:rRNA from 1 species